rnacentral:rRNA from 1 species
UGCAGCGACGCCGCGUGAGGGAUGACGGCCUUCGGGUUGUAAACCUCUUUCAGCAGGGACGAAGCGAAAGUGACGGUACCUGCAGAAGAAGCACCGGCCAACUACGUGCCAGCAGCCGCGGUAAUACGUAGGGUGCGAGCGUUGUCCGGAAUUACUGGGCGUAAAGAGCUCGUAGGCGGUUUGUCGCGUCGUCUGUGAAAACCAGCAGCUCAACUGCUGGCUUGCAGGCGAUACGGGCAGACUUGAGUACUGCAGGGGAGACUGGAAUUCCUGGUGUAGCGGUGAAAUGCGCAGAUAUCAGGAGGAACACCGGUGGCGAAGGCGGGUCUCUGGGCAGUAACUGACGCUGAGGAGCGAAAGCGUGGGUAGCGAACAGGAUUAGAUACCCUGGUAGUCCACGCCGUAAACGGUGGGCGCUAGGUGUGGGUUUCCUUCCACGGGAUCCGUGCCGUACCUAACGCAUUAAGCGCCCCGCCGGGGGAGUACGGCCGCAAGGCUAAAACUCAAAGGAAUUGACGGGGGCCCGCACAAGCGGCGGAGCAUGUGGAUUAAUUCGAUGCAACGCGAAAAACCUUACCUGGGUUUGACAUAUACCGGAAAGCCGUAAAGAUACGGCCCCCCUUGUGGUCG